rnacentral:tRNA from 1 species
AAGAAAGUAUGCAAGAACUGCUAAUUCAUUGCCCCCAUAUAUAAUAAUAUGGCUUUCUUA